ACUCCUACGGGAGGCAGCAGUGGGGAAUAUUGGACAAUGGGCGAAAGCCUGAUCCAGCCAUGCCGCGUGUGUGAAGAAGGUCUUCGGAUUGUAAAGCACUUUAAGUUGGGAGGAAGGGCAGUAAGUUAAUACCUUGCUGUUUUGACGUUACCAACAGAAUAAGCACCGGCUAACUCC
rnacentral:rRNA from 1 species